GAUGAACGCUGGCGGCGUGCCUAACACAUGCAAGUCGAGCGAGAACCGCUGGAAUGACACUUCGGUAGAAUGAAAGCGGGGAAAGCGGCGGACGGGUGAGUAACGCGUAGGUAACCUGCCCCAUACACAGGGAUAGCCUAGGGAAACCUGGAUUAAUACCUGAUGAAGCAACUGGUCGCAUGACCGGCUGCCAAAGAUUUAUCGGUAUGGGAUGGACCUGCGUCUGAUUAGUGAGUUGGUGGGGUAAUGGCCUACCAAAGCGACGAUCAGUAGCCGACCUGAGAGGGUGAUCGGCCACAUUGGAACUGAGACACGGUCCAAACUCCUGCGGGAGGCAGCAGUGGGGGAUAUUGCACAAUGGGCGGAAGCCUGAUGCAGCAACGCCGCGUGAGCGAAGAAGGUCUUCGGAUCGUAAAGCUCUGUCCUGGGGAAGAAACAAAUGACGGUACCCCGGGAGGAAGCCCCGGCUAACUACGUGCCAGCAGCCGCGGU
rnacentral:rRNA from 1 species